CAGGCUUAACACAUGCAAGUCGAGGGGCAGCAUUUCUUUUUGCUUGCAAACUGGAGAUGGCGACCGGCGCACGGGUGAGUAACACGUAUCCAACCUGCCGAUAACUCGGGGAUAGCCUUUCGAAAGAAAGAUUAAUACCCGAUGGUAUAAUCAGACCGCAUGGUCUUGUUAUUAAAGAAUUUCGGUUAUCGAUGGGGAUGCGUUCCAUUAGGCAGUUGGUGAGGUAACGGCUCACCAAACCUUCGAUGGAUAGGGGUUCUGAGAGGAAGGUCCCCCACAUUGGAACUGAGACACGGUCCAAACUCCUACGGGAGGCAGCAGUGAGGAAUAUUGGUCAAUGGGCGCAGGCCUGAACCAGCCAAGUAGCGUGAAGGAUGACUGCCCUAUGGGUUGUAAACUUCUUUUAUAUGGGAAUAAAGUGAGCCACGUGUGGCUUUUUGUAUGUACCGUAUGAAUAAGGAUCGGCUAACUCCGUGCCGGCAGCCGCGGCAAUACGGAGGAUCCGAGCGUUAUCCGGAUUUAUUGGGUUUAAAGGGAGCGUAGGCGGGUUGUUAAGUCAGUUGUGAAAGUUUGCGGCUCAACCGUAAAAUUGCAGUUGAUACUGGCGACCUUGAGUGCAACAGAGGUAGGCGGAAUUCGUGGUGUAGCGGUGAAAUGCUUAGAUAUCACGAAGAACUCCGAUUGCGAAGGCAGCUCACUGGACUGCAACUGACACUGAUGCUCGAAAGUGUGGGUAUCAAACAGGAUUAGAUACCCUGGUAGUCCACACAGUAAACGAUGAAUACUCGCUGUUUGCGAUAUACAGUAAGCGGCCAAGCGAAAGCAUUAAGUAUUCCACCUGGGGAGUACGCCGGCAACGGUGAAACUCAAAGGAAUUGACGGGGGCCCGCACAAGCGGAGGAACAUGUGGUUUAAUUCGAUGAUACGCGAGGAACCUUACCCGGGCUUAAAUUGCAUUUGAAUAUAUUGGAAACAGUAUAGCCGUAAGGCAAAUGUGAAGGUGCUGCAUGGUUGUCGUCAGCUCGUGCCGUGAGGUGUCGGCUUAAGUGCCAUAACGAGCGCAACCCUUAUCUUUAGUUACUAACAGGUCAUGCUGAGGACUCUAGAGAGACUGCCGUCGUAAGAUGUGAGGAAGGUGGGGAUGACGUCAAAUCAGCACGGCCCUUACGUCCGGGGCUACACACGUGUUACAAUGGGGGGUACAGAAGGCAGCUACCUGGUGACAGGAUGCUAAUCCCAAAAGCCUCUCUCAGUUCGGAUCGAAGUCUGCAACCCGACUUCGUGAAGCUGGAUUCGCUAGUAAUCGCGCAUCAGCCAUGGCGCGGUGAAUACGUUCCCGGGCCUUGUACACACCGCCCGUCAAGCCAUGAAAGCCGGGGGUACCUGAAGUACGUAACCGCAAGGAGCGUCCUAGGGUAAAACUGGUAAUUGGGGC
rnacentral:rRNA from 1 species